ACCCAGGAGGUAUUGGUAGGCAAAGUACAGCUCUAUGACAGCUCCGUUUUCUCCCCAAGCUCGUCAUCAGUCAUUUCCGAAGUUGCGAAAACGUUGAUGAAUUUGAUCUAACUUGCAGGCUGCUCUUCGGGACAGUGAGUUCACAUUUGAUGCAGGUUUUCAACCGCCAAUUGAGGGAAUGUAUGCGGACGUAUUGUGACUGCGAAAGAGUCUAAUGGAUACCAGGGGCAGACAGUUCUAACUUGAGAGCGCAGCGAGGAUGGAACUAUCGGAAGCCCGCCAGUGCAUAGUUGAGAUACUUCGUUCGGAAAAUAUCGAAACAAAUGUAUUUUCACGGAAUUGCAGUAAAGUGGUCCUGUGGCGCAACCGUCUUUUAUAGGCAUCUUGAACAGUGUGGCUCGCCGAGUCACUGCUGCGCUCCAAGAUUUAUCUGAGGUAGCCUAUUUCUGGUGACAAGCAGGUGAAUUUGAAGUGCCCAUGAAAGAAUUCCACUGUCCAAGUGAGGCGACAUUCUUGAACUUCCUACACAAUAUAUUGUUUUAAAUUGUCUUCUGCCAUUGAAAUGAUCGUAUGAAAUACAUUUCUAAUGGCUUGUGCUUAUUUGGUGUUAUAUUUUACAUUGACGCCCGAAAAGUAGCCUAAACGAAAGCAAUUUCUAUCGUGCUGAUCUUUUAUUUACUGUAACACUGCUCCAUCGGAAACACAUGGAUUUGUCAUUGGACUGCUGCUAAGGACCACGCGCUCCAGCGGGUGUUUUUGGACUUUCCUCGCGACGAUGCACCUCCUCCGACUGGCGUGGGCUUUAACGGGAGCGGCAAUCUGCUUUUUUGUCAUCCUGCUCAUUCACUCCCACGUCCUAAAAGAAGGUCAGCUGGCUGCAGGAACGUGCGAGAUCGUCACUCUGGACCGCGACAGCAGUCAGCCACGGAGGACCAUCGCGCGACAGACGGCGAGGUGUGCCUGCAAGAAAGGCCAGAUUGCCGGAACCACGAGAGCCAGACCAGCCUGCGUGGACGCUCGCAUCGUGAGGAGUAGACAGUGGUGUGAGAUGAUGCCUUGUUUGGAAGACGAGGGCUGUGACCUGUUGGUGAACCAGUCUGGUUGGACCUGCACACAGCCCGGGGGGCGAGUCAAGACCACCACGGCCCUAUGACGGCACAUACACAAACAAGACAGAAGUCACUCCCAGCCAGACAGACAGCAAAAGUCAACCACUUUUCAAGGACAGACAUGUGAAAAACAACAAACUGCAGACCCUGGCAGGCUAGUGCCACACAGCAAGGUCUCCUGACGAUGGCAGGGGCAGACGCUCCCUGCGGAGUGGUUGGUGUGUGAGCCUCUUCCCAUAGCCCCAUCGUCCUUCGCUGUGUGGACCAUCCGUCAUCCAAUCAUCAGCCAUUUGUCUGUUCUUCAAAACUGAUGACGGAAGCGAGGGGGGGUGGACGCAACCCUUUUUUGUGCCACGUUGAACCUUUUGUUGAUAAGGAGCCUGAACUUCUAACACCUGGAAUGUGAGAUAUUCGUGGAAAGAACACAUGGGACUCUGCAAUUCUAGGUUCCACUGAACGUAACUUUUUUCCGUUUUGUUGUUGUUGUUUUUUUUGCUGAAUUUGGAAAUACCGAAUGGGGUCAUGAGGGAGAUUCUUGGAACUAACCUAGACCUGGGACCACCUGGGAUGAUGCGAAAGACAUGGAAUGAUAAAUGCUUUUGGAGUUUAUGCUUGACAAACGUUCUAUAGUGUUCUUGCAGACCAAAGAUAGAAAUUGUGACGCUGGCUAUAUUCUAGAGGAGUUAAUGGAGAUGGUGAAGAGGGGAUAGGGGACUUUUGCAAGUGGACCCAAGUCUUGCAUCCCCAUGGGCCUCCAAUACAGACGCUAAUGUACACUUAGGGAUGAACAGUAGGACUUGUUGCAUUCAAUAUAAAUUGUAUACAAACAACAAAAAACAACAAAAAAAACUGUCUUAACAAAGACAAACUUUUCGAAUUAAACUUGAGUCCAAGGAUAAUGUGUAACUCGUUGACGACGUUUCUGUUGGGACAACUAAACUGUACUUGUUUACUCACUGCUAAAUUUUGAACAUGCAUUUAAUCCGAGUUACAUUUUCAAUCGCUAUAUUUGGACAAUUUGCAGUCAGCAUGGCUGGUUAUAGUGAAACAAGCAAAUCAUUUCUCACCAAGAAAGAAGAGGAGGGAGUGAGGGGAAAGAAAACCUGUUAGGAUUUCAUAUAUGUCAUAUCUGUUCGGAGGAAACAAACAUUAAAUGUAUUUUCAAAAGCCUAAAGUUAUAUAUUUAACAGUUUUAUAUGUUGUAUCUUUGUAGAGAACCUUAUUUAACACUGAAGAUGUGGUCACUUUGCCAAUCAUAAACUGUGGGUACACAGUGAGCUAUAUCCUUAAGCUGCUUGUCUGUCUUGUUCAUUUGAACAAAGUCAAGUGGCUCUGCCUUUUGAAGCUAAUCGGUUAUUUUUACAACAUGAAAUUAUGUAUUAUUUAACAUGAAAUGAAGAGUAAAGUACUAGAGACUAAUUAAAGUGAUGAAAACAUAACAAGAUCCCACUAUUGACCUAAACUAUACCUCUUUCACACCAGUAGCCAGGGUCUUAUGCCGAAAAUUUGAAUUGAGUGUAACCCGUUUCAGACCCAUACAUGCAUAACGAUGCGACAUGAAUAGUUGUCACAGAAAAAAAAGAAGAAGAAAAAAAAACAGUUGAUCACAUAAUUACAGCUGCUGGUUUUUACUCCACUAAAUCUGUUGAGAAAAUCUGUUGGCUUUGUGAUUCUGCCAUAUCUUCAUUUUCACUUUUGCAUUUUGUGGCAUCUGUGGUAACCAUUGAGAAGUUAAUGGCACUCGCUUUCAUCAACAAAAGUCUCAGAAAGGACAUUUCGGCAUUGUGUGAUGGCUGUUAACAUGGCAUAAACAAGAUACUGAGCCUUGAAUGGGUUAAGUCCAGCUUCUGACCCAUGUCACCUACACGUAUCACUGAAAAGAACUUGAGUUGCCCAGACCAGUGAUUCUGCCAUGUUUCACUAUUGUGAUUAGGUUGGUGUGAAAGUGGUAUGUAAUGUUAGGGGAAACUUGAUAGGAAAAAAUAAAUAAACUGAAUCUGCACUGGGACCCCAAUAGUGUUUAUGAUAAUAUGCAAAUGUGAUACCUGGAAAUUACAUUGUAUUUCAAACAAUGAGUAUCCCUAUAAUCUACCAAAAGAAAUGUGCAAGUUGCUUAACAGGUGCAAACAUAGUGGAGCUAUUAUGUCAUAGCAUCAGAAUAUUCCUUUUUUGAAGUUACCUGUUUUCAGAAUGUGCAGAUAUUUGGAUAUCUGUAAUAUGUGUAUAAACAGCACAUGUAAGAGAUACUAAGAACAUGACCACUGUCUGUAGUUUCAUGAUUUUCUCUUGGAAUCUUGAAACGUGUUGUUAGAUUAAAUCUUUGAAACCUCAUGCGCUUAUCUAUAAAUCAGUAGCCAUGGUUUUCUAGGAUUAUGCUUCUCCUACAGUAUAAUGAUUACAGAGGUAUGAACUGUAAAUAUGUUGUGGAUGUAACUGCUUUCACAGGAUGAGUGCUAUAGGAUAUCUUAAGCCCUGAAAGAAAUGCUUCAGUUUGAUCACCCAAAUAUAGCAUUCUAUACCGUCAGGAAUAAAUUAUACUUUUUCUUCAGUUCUCUUUAAAGUCCAUAAAAUGAUGAUUAUGCCACACCAAAGGGAGAGGAAAAAAGGCUCAAAGAAUAUUUUCCAUUUGAUAUUGUGAAUACAUUACUUUAAGAGAUUGAUUUGAAAUAACUACGAAUACAGAGCAGUCAGAAUGUAGGACUAUGGUCUCGGAGGCUGCAGUUCUCUUGAAUGAUCCUAUUUUAUUUAUUAACUUUAAUCUGUCCUAGUUUUCACACUACAUCACUAUUAACCCAUUUUAGCUGAGAGGGAAAUUAAGCAUACAUAUGAACAAAACGAACUAUGUUUGCUUUAAUGAGAAAUGACCGAUUAAGAUGAAGACAGAAAAAGUGUCCAGAGUGGCAGUUUAUUAAAAAGAAAAUCUACGUUUCUAAUAAUAAACCCCCGCUGCUAAAGGGUAUAUACUGUAUAUGGCACAUGUCUGAUACACUGCCACACAACAGCCAGGUGUGUGUGUGUUUACGUGUGUGUGUGUGUCUGUAUUUGUUGGAAGGCAGAGCACUGUGAAACAAACAAAAAAUACAGAUUUUUUCUCCUUACACCCUCCAAUCUGCCAUUUUACCUUUGUUAUUUUACUACACACAAUGAGUCUCCUGACAAAAAAGCUUAGUAAACCAUUAAAUACACAAUUGAGUUUGUUCAG